rnacentral:lncRNA from 1 species
AUAACAUCAACCUUUCAGUAUCUACUUUUUAUUAUUAUACAUAUUCACAAUGAAUGUGACAGCCGUCCUUGCUUCUCUCCUGCUUGCUGCCGUCGCCAUGUUUCAAGGCGCUAAUGGGCAUCAUCAUCAUCAUCAUCAUGGACACCACCAUGGGCACCACCACGGGCACCAUCACGGGCACCAUCACGGAAAAUAGAUGAGACGUUUGGGGACUCACCGAAAUAUAUUGAUGCAUCAUCUAACACAAAGUGUUUUCCAUCUCAGCUG